rnacentral:lncRNA from 1 species
UAAGCAACAAAGGAGGGACUAAUACAGAAAACUGGUAAUGACAAGUAGGCUGUUGCUGAAAAUGAAUACCUGAAAAUAUGAAAGUGUCUUUCAAACUGGGUGAUGGGCAGAGGCUAAAAGAAUCUUGGAGAGGCAGACCUGGUUGGCCAUGGUGAAUGGAAUUCCAGGUUGCUGUGCGUAUGCAAAACCUCAGUCCCUACCACAGUGGCCACUUUAUUCAUAAGCCCGGUGACUGAUG